rnacentral:rRNA from 1 species
UCUCUGAUGUUAGCGGCGGACGGGUGAGUAACACGUGGAUAACCUACCUAUAAGACUGGGAUAACUUCGGGAAACCGGAGCUAAUACCGGAUAAUAUUUUGAACCGCAUGGUUCAAAAGUGAAAGACGGUCUUGCUGUCACUUAUAGAUGGAUCCGCGCUGCAUUAGCUAGUUGGUAAGGUAACGGCUUACCAAGGCAACGAUGCAUAGCCGACCUGAGAGGGUGAUCGGCCACACUGGAACUGAGACACGGUCCAGACUCCUACGGGAGGCAGCAGUAGGGAAUCUUCCGCAAUGGGCGAAAGCCUGACGGAGCAACGCCGCGUGAGUGAUGAAGGUCUUCGGAUCGUAAAACUCUGUUAUUAGGGAAGAACAUAUGUGUAAGUAACUGUGCACAUCUUGACGGUACCUAAUCAGAAAGCCACGGCUAACUACGUGCCAGCAGCCGCGGUAAUACGUAGGUGGCAAGCGUUAUCCGGAAUUAUUGGGCGUAAAGCGCGCGUAGGCGGUUUUUUAAGUCUGAUGUGAAAGCCCACGGCUCAACCGUGGAGGGUCAUUGGAAACUGGAAAACUUGAGUGCAGAAGAGGAAAGUGGAAUUCCAUGUGUAGCGGUGAAAUGCGCAGAGAUAUGGAGGAACACCAGUGGCGAAGGCGACUUUCUGGUCUGUAACUGACGCUGAUGUGCGAAAGCGUGGGGAUCAAACAGGAUUAGAUACCCUGGUAGUCCACGCCGUAAACGAUGAGUGCUAAGUGUUAGGGGGUUUCCGCCCCUUAGUGCUGCAGCUAACGCAU